GUAAAGCGGAGUAUCAAAUAUGACAUAAAAUACGCAAUAACAAUAUUCCUACAAGUUUACAAUGGAAUACAUACCGAGAGAAGUUUACUAAAAUAAAUGUAAAACUAAAACGCAUUUGAAGAUCUUCAUAAGAAUGGGAAACCUAGCAUGUGGCACGGGUAGAAAUAGUACAAGGAAAAGAUUUACACGUCCGUAUGAAGAAAGACAGACCAGCUGGUCGUCGUAUCCAGUUCAGGAGACUGACACAGGUAAGUGGAAAAUCUCUUAAGAUAUAUGUUUUGGUAAGUCUAACAUUUAGACAAAAUCCAGCAAUAUCC
rnacentral:lncRNA from 1 species